AUAGUUCUCCAAUCUGCUGGACACCCGUUCCUAUGCUCCUAGUUUCAGUCUGACCUUGUGCCUGUAUUUGGACUUUGUUUUACUUUGAACUCCUGAGCCAUAUUGUGUGCUGUAAGCCUACAGCAGAAGCUGGAACCUGAAGUUGAAGAAUGGAUGGUCCAAAAUACUGCAAGAGAACCAAUAUCAACCCAAAGCUGCAAUACAACAGAAGGAGAAACACCCAUUUUAAAGAUGUCUCUAAUGUCUAACAGAAGGUGAAAAAGUCAUGUAGCUUUAUUCAUUCAUUCCAAAAGUCUUGUAGUGUUUUAACUUGGAGAGAAAGAACCCUGUGCUUUCAUGAUGUAUUAUAUUGU